CACAUCACAUAUUCGCUGGCUUUCAAAACCGAUCACUAGCAUUCUUGAGAUCUCAUAGAGACCAAUUGUACCAGCGAGCAAAGGAGGAAGCAACGUUGCACAGAAGUGUUUUCAGUAAUGACAGAAUAACAAGCAGAAUGAGGCUAUUAAAGAUGACAGAAGAAGAGAAACAAAACAUAAGCAUUUGGUGAGGAAGGUGCAAUGAAAGAUCAGAGCAGCAGCACAGUGCUCAAGAUGCUGUGACAGUCCUCUGGAGUUGUCUGCCUCGUUCUGCAAGCCAGCCUGUUGUCUGAAGCUCAGGACCUCGAUACAUGCCUUCUCAAAGCUGGACUUCCAGUGCAGCCAUCAUGGGAGCAGGUGAGAUUUAAACAUUAACGACUUU
rnacentral:lncRNA from 1 species